rnacentral:rRNA from 1 species
UACAGAGGGGGCAAGCGUUGUUCGGAAUUACUGGGCGUAAAGGGCGCGUAGGCGGCCUUCUAAGUCGAACGUGAAAUCCCCGGGCUCAACCCGGGAACUGCGUCCGAUACUGGAAGGCUUGAAUCCGGGAGAGGGAUGCGGAAUUCCAGGUGUAGCGGUGAAAUGCGUAGAUAUCUGGAGGAACACCGAUGGCGAAGGCAGGUCUCUGGGCCAUACUGACGCUGAGAAGCGAAAGCAUGGGGAGCGAACAGG